CAGCCGCCACGGUAAAACGAAGGGGGCUAGCGUUGCUCGGAUUUACUGGGCGUAAAGGGCGCGUAGGCGGACAGUUUAGUCGGGGGUGAAAGCCCGGGGCUCAACCUCGGAAUUGCCUUCGAUACUGGCUGUCUUGAGUACGGGAGAGGUGAGUGGAACUCCGAGUGUAGAGGUGAAAUUCGUAGAUAUUCGCAAGAACACCAGUGGCGAAGGCGGCUCACUGGCCCGGUAUUGACGCUGAGGUGCGAAAGCGUGGGGAGCAAACAGGAUUAGAUACCCCGGUAGUCCCUGUCUCUUAUAA
rnacentral:rRNA from 1 species